rnacentral:tRNA from 1 species
GCCGGGAUGGCGGAAUCGGUAGACGCGAUGGUCUCAAACACCAUUGUCUGCAAGGACAUGCCGGUUCGAGUCCGGCUCCCGGUACUA